AUAAUUCUCUGUUGUUCUACUUGUGCUUGCCCAUGCUAUGUGCUUGGUUGUGCUUUAUGUGUUAUAUUUGUAUUUGUAGUGAUCGUAUUGUUGAUUAGUUGGGAUUGAAAUUGUGGUCUAAGUGCAUUUUGGAGCUUACAAUAUGUGAUUUUUCCUUUUUCUUUUUGUUUUUUAGUUGUUAUUGACGCUAUUGAAUCUGGAGGACCCAUUUAGCUCUCUGUUUUUUUAGUUGUUAUUGACGCUAUUCCUUUUCUAAAGUUAGCUCUCUUUUUUUUCCUUUUUCUUUUUGUCUGUUUACAAGUACAUUUGUAAUUGUUUUAUUUUAGUUUGUAGGUGGUGAAAAAUAGGCUGGAUUUAUAUGUUAUAUGAGAGUUGGUUUUCUGUUUCAAUAUCAUAAAGAAGGUAGGGAAGUGUUAAAAUUAGGAUAAACUUUGUUUUCAAUCACUUUGCAUAUUGGUCUCAGAGUACUUCGCUUUUUAAAUGCAGACUUUCGACUUUGUUUUGUUCCUUUGGUUUUGGUUCUUUAUUUUCAUUUGUUUUAGUUGUUUUGGUUAUUUUCAUAUUGGUCUCAGAAGUAUAUAAUGAAGUGAUUGCAAUUCCAAAUUUUAGUCCAGAUGAACAACUGAAGGCAUACUCUUGGUUUAUAGAAAAUGAGAAACAGUUUCUCAUGUUAAAGACAAUUCCAACUAAGAUAAAGAAGGAAAUGGUGUUGAUGUUUAUUUCACCGAGAACGUAGACACAUUUUAUAUUCAAUUGACAUCUUUUAUUUUUGCUAUUUUGUUGAAUCAUUGGCUGGAAUGAUUAGCUUCAUUUUGUUAAUUACGUGAUUCAUGCUUUUUUAAAUUAGACAAGCUACAGUUGCAAUUCUUUACAUUAGUAACAAUUGAGUUAUGGGUUGUUAGACAAUUUUCGUACUGCACAAGUCUUUCUAAUUAUAUAUAUAAUAAUAAUGUGUUGAACUAUGCUAAUUAUAUACAAGACUGUUGUAAAAAAAAAAAUGUUGUUACAUCUAAGUAAAUUCUAAUUCUGUGAUGACUAUCCGAACAGAUGAAAUUUUAAUUUCUAUCAUUUCUUAAAUUCCGCAUAUAUGACAUCCAAACGCUGAAAUUUGCAACUGAUGAAAUUUUUAAAUGAUGUAAUUUGAAAUUUCAUUAAUUUCCAUGAAAAUUAGAAUUACUUCAUCCAAACAAAAGGACCACGGGAGCCAUUUUGAAAUUUGAGGUACUCAAAUGCAAAUCGGGUCAAAAUUAAAGGACUAAUAAAAUGAUUAACCUUAUUUUAUAUAUACAUGAGGAUGUUUUGAAUAUGUUUUUUGUGUGUGGCAAUUUAGUUGUAAUUAAAUUUGGGUUAUUGUGCAUUUAUUAGACACUCAUGGGCUUAAUAUACUUGAAGCCUUAACAACCAAAAAUAAAAGAAUCAUUCUAUAAUGAGAGCCUUAUAUGUGGCCCUUAAGUGAUGUCUUAUCUCUUAACCUUUGGAUCAAACUAAUCAAUUUGAUCCAACGAUUAAGAAAUAAUACCUUACCUAGGGAUUAUAUACAAGGCUUUCACUAUAAAAUUCUUGAAAAGUAAAAAUUAAAUGAAAUGGGC
rnacentral:lncRNA from 1 species